rnacentral:rRNA from 1 species
GGCUCAGAUUGAACGCUGGCAGCAUGCUUUACACAUGCAAGUCGAACGGCAGCACGGGGGCAACCCUGGUGGCGAGUGGCGAACGGGUGAGUAAUACAUCGGAACGUGUCCUAUCGUGGGGGAUAACUAGUCGAAAGACUAGCUAAUACCGCAUGAGAUCGAGAGAUGAAAGCAGGGGACCGCAAGGCCUUGCGCGAUUGGAGCGGCCGAUGUCGGAUUAGCUAGUUGGCGGGGUAAAAGCCCACCAAGGCGACGAUCCGUAGCUGGUUUGAGAGGACGACCAGCCACACUGGGACUGAGACACGGCCCAGACUCCUACGGGAGGCAGCAGUGGGGAAUUUUGGACAAUGGGCGCAAGCCUGAUCCAGCAAUGCCGCGUGAGUGAAGAAGGCCUUCGGGUUGUAAAGCUCUUUCAGUUGAGAAGAAAAGAUUGUGACUAAUAAUUGCAAUUCAUGACGGUAUCAACAGAAGAAGCACCGGCUAACUACGUG